CUCACAUUACUACGCUAUCGGUCAUCACUAAUGACAAGAAAACGUAAACAAAACAAAUAUUUACAAAUAUUGACGGAAAAAUUGAUUACAUUUGGUGGCUAUCGGUGACUUAGCCAAGCGCUCCCACCCAACCAUGGAAGCCCUCAAGAUGCUGCAGGGCACCACCCAUUCUCUGUCGGCAGGAGCCCCCUCCUCGCGACUAAGGCGGUUCCAUCUCCCCCACUGGGAAAGUUUACUCACACAUUGUGGGUAUUACAAAGGUUUAAUAAAUAUCCCUUUAAGACCGAAACCUGGCCGCCGACUUCAAUAUUUACGCGGUCAAAGCAGAGGAUUGGUUUUGCUGGAAAAGGUUACAGGCGCCGCGAAAACUGUGCUCUACCAGUCAUGUAUUGGUAGAGCUCGUAUGGAAACGCGGCCCUCAAAGGAACAUACGCGAUGCACUUGUAUGGUCACCUAAUCCUGAGGAGCUCCAAGGGAAAAGAAGGGACAGGCCAAAAAGGCAAACAACGAGGACAAAUAAGGCUCUCGGGUCUAACUCCGGAUAAAUUCACAAACAGGGAAGUAGAUAUCAAUAUAUAUAUGUAUUUAUUUUUUCUAAAUUUCAGCCACUAUUGUGCCGGGCCUGGAGGCAAUGAUAGCCCGGGGGGAAGACUUCUCGCCGGAGGCCAGCAGCGAUACGGAUCUCCACACGCUCUCCGGUGAGUUGUGCAAUGGCAGUCCGAGAUUCGGCUGCCAGACAAAAUGGCGAUACUUCUCAGCGCCGCGAUGUGACCGCUGGAAGUUCCCGAGAUGAGGAGGACGCGGUACACCGGAACGGACUCACCGGGAAAUGCUUGAUGUCGUCGGCGUCGACUGUGCAAGGCUUUUCUGGCUAGUCGUUGGUACGGGUCGAACGGACACCGGUUGCUGGGCAGCCAAGUCGGGCUAGAGUCGAACUCCAAAUAAAUAUUCCGGGGCCCUUUGUAUUGGGACCCCGGCUGCUACUUAAUUUUAAGCACAAAAAAAAA